rnacentral:tRNA from 1 species
AAUGAAGUGCCUGAAUAAAGGAUUAUUUUGAUAGAAUAAAACAAGUAAAAAUUUUACCUUCAUUA